ACUCUAACUACAAUUAUACACAAAUAGGCGGAUUAAUAUCUACACAACCAAAUUGCAAGGCUUAUUUCCAACAAAGCUCCCUUGAAAGUGGAUCGAAUGACGAAACAAGAGCAAUUUCCUGGGCCAUGUAGGCGUCGACAAACAACGGGUAAUCUCUUAAGAUGUACAAUUUAUAUCCAAAUAAAGCGGGAUUAUUUUCCACUGUUUGCUUUUAUACGCGUACGAAAGGCGAGCGUCAAAAAUUGUGACUUCGUGAAGAAAUUGGGCGUGUUUACUUCAGAAUUUGGGGCGAAUUCAGCAACCUGACCUACGAGCGAAGUUCGCAACCGAAAGUUAUUUUAAGAGCACCUACAGGCAAAAAGUUUUGGUACGUUUUAGUCACAGAUAAGGGCACCUCUUAACAUCUGUGUAGGAGUUGGCUUUACGAGUAAAUUAUUUAGCAUAAAGGAAAAGUUUAUGUGGGUAUAUAAUUGAAGCUUAAUUAAAUUUAUGACGGUUGGUUAUCUGUUAUAUUUUUAUACAAGCUACUUAGCUGAGAUUUUCUGAAUAUUCAGUAACUUUUAGAGAACGAUGUUUAGUUGAAAUUAACAAUAUUAUCUUACUCUACUACAUAACUGUAUAUAUCUGACGAUACAAUACCUAGAUAUAUAUUAUAGCGAAUUUUAAUGGCGUUAAAACAUAAAACUUUGUGUACAUAAAACUGUAUGAGUACAUAAAUAUAGGUUACUAAAUACAGUCAUAUAGUAGACAAAUGACUAAACGGGUCGCAUAAUGGGGAGUAAUAACCCAGUCUGUUGUGAGGACCCACAACAUUUAGUUACGGAC